rnacentral:rRNA from 1 species
GUACACGCUGUGACUAGCAUAUCAAUAAGCGGAAGGAAAAGAAACUAACAAGGAUUCCCUUAGUAACGGCGAGUGAAGCGGGAAGAGCUCAAAUUUGAAAUCUUCAAGGUUUUACCUUGACGAAUUGUAGUUUAAAGAAGUGUUUUCUGCUGAAGUUUUGGUAAAAGUUCUUUGGAAUAGGACAUCAUAGAGGGUGAGAAUCCCGUAUUUGACCAUUAUUUUCAGCUGUGUGAUACACUUUCAAAGAGUCGGAUUGUUUGGGAAUGCAGUCCAGAAUGGGUGGUAAAUUUCAUCUAAAGCUAAAUAUUGGCGAGAGACCGAUAGCGAACAAGUACCGUGAGGGAAAGAUGAAAAGAACUUUGAAAAGAGAGUUAAACAGUACGUGAAAUUGUCAAAAGGGAAGCGUUUGACACCAGUGUUGUUUUCUCGAAAAUCAAUUAAAAAAAGUUGGAUUUUGUGUUGUAUUGACCUUAACAGCUUUCUUCACUCUUUUCCUGCUUUUUUUAAUGCACUUUUCGUUUAACAAGUCAACAUCAGUUUCUUUUGUUGUAAAAGGGUCAUUGGAAGGUGGCUUUCUUUUCGGAGAAAGUGUUUAUAGCCUUUGAUCUCUGCAAUCGGAGAGACUGAGGUCUGCAGCGUAGAUCCUUCGGGGUUAGAUACAUUUGUGCUAAGUUAUAACUUUUCAUAGACAACUUGUUGACUAUAGUUUAGUCAUUGUAGCUUACUCGCUUAUGCUAUUUUACCUACGCUUAGGAUGUUGAACUACUGAGACAUAGA